rnacentral:rRNA from 1 species
CAGUCGAACGGGAUCCCUGGCAGCUUGCUGCCGGGGUGAGAGUGGCGAACGGGUGAGUAAUGCGUGACCGACCUGCCCCAUGCACCGGAAUAGCUCCUGGAAACGGGUGGUAAUGCCGGAUGUUCCACAUGAGCGCAUGCGAGUGUGGGAAAGGCUUUUUGCGGCAUGGGAUGGGGUCGCGUCCUAUCAGCUUGUUGGUGGGGUAACGGCCUACCAAGGCGUUGACGGGUAGCCGGCCUGAGAGGGCGACCGGCCACAUUGGGACUGAGAUACGGCCCAGACUCCUACGGGAGGCAGCAGUGGGGAAUAUUGCACAAUGGGCGCAAGCCUGAUGCAGCGACGCCGCGUGCGGGAUGGAGGCCUUCGGGUUGUAAACCGCUUUUGUUCAAGGGCAAGGCACGGUCUUUGGCCGUGUUGAGUGGAUUGUUCGAAUAAGCACCGGCUAACUACGUGCCAGCAGCCGCGGUAAUACGUAGGGUGCAAGCGUUAUCCGGAUUUAUUGGGCGUAAAGGGCUCGUAGGCGGUUCGUCGCGUCCGGUGUGAAAGUCCAUCGCUUAACGGUGGAUCCGCGCCGGGUACGGGCGGGCUUGAGUGCGGUAGGGGAGACUGGAAUUCCCGGUGUAACGGUGGAAUGUGUAGAUAUCGGGAAGAACACCAAUGGCGAAGGCAGGUCUCUGGGCCG